rnacentral:rRNA from 1 species
UACGACUACAUAUCAGGCAUAUCAAUAAGCGGAGGAAAAGAAACUAACAUAGGAUUCCCUCAGUAACGGCGAGUGAAGCGGGAAGAGCUCAAAUUUGAAAUCUUCAAGGUUCUACCUUGACGAAUUGUAGUUUAAAGAAGUGUUUUCUGUUAGAUGAGUAGCAAAAGUUCCUUGGAAUGGGACAUCAUAGAGGGUGAGAAUCCCGUAUUUGGUUAUUCAUUCUAGCUUUGUGAUACACUUUCAAAGAGUCGGAUUGUUUGGGAAUGCAGUCCAAAAUGGGUGGUAAAUUUCAUCUAAAGCUAAAUAUUGGCGAGAGACCGAUAGCGAACAAGUACCGUGAGGGAAAGAUGAAAAGAACUUUGAAAAGAGAGUUAAACAGUACGUGAAAUUGUCAAAAGGGAAGCGUCUGACACCAGUGUUGUUUUUCCGAAAAUCAAUUACGAAUGGCUUGAUUUUGUGUUGUAUUGACCUUAUCAGCUUUCUUCACUUUUUUCGAGUCUUUCUUAAUGCACUUUUCGGUUAACAAGUCAACAUCAAUUUCUUUUGUUGCAAAAGAGAAUUCGGAAGGUGGCUUUCUUUUCGGAGAAAGUGUUUAUAGCCCUAUACUUCUACAAUCGGAGAGAUUGAGGUCUGCAGCGUAGAUCCUUCGGGGUUAGAUACAUUUGUGCUAAGUUGUAGCUUUUCAUAGACAACUUGUUGACUAUGUUUAGUCAUGCGGCUUACUCGCUUAUGCUAUUUUACCUACGCUUAGGAUGUUGAGUAGCGACAUACGCAC